GCAACGAGCGCAACCCCUGCAUUCAGUUGCCAUCGGGUAAUGCCGGGCACUCUGGAAGGACUGCCAUCGACAAGAUGGAGGAAGUGGGGAUGACGUCAAGUCAUCAUGGCCCUUAUGUCCAGGGCGACACACGUGCUACAAUGGCCGGCACAACGGGAAGCGAGUUCGCGAGGACGAGCGGAUCCCUCAAAGCCGGUCGCAGUUCGGAUUGAAGUCUGCAACUCGACUUCAUGAAGCUGGAAUCGCUAGUAAUCGUGGAUCAGAAUGUCACGGUGAAUACGUUCCCGGGCCUU
rnacentral:rRNA from 1 species